rnacentral:tRNA from 1 species
GGGUUGGCCCAGCGGUUAGAGCUUAGGUUUUGUAACCGAAAGGUCGCGGGAUCGAAUCCCGCGAGAGGCUG